GUGCCGGCAGCCGCGGUAAUACAGAGGGUGCAAGCGUUAAUCAGAAUGACUGGGCGUAAAGGGCGUGUAGGUGGUUGACUAGGUUUGAUGUGAAAUCCCCGGGCUUAACCUGGGAAUUGCGUCGAAAACGGGUCGACUAGAGUGAGAUAGAGGGUUGUGGAAUUUCCGGUGUAGCGGUGAAAUGCGUAGAUAUCGGAAAGAACAUCAGUGGCGAAAGCGACAACCUGGAUCUUAACUGACACUGAGGCGCGAAGGCGUGGGGAGCAAACAGGAUUAGAAACCCGUGUAGUCC
rnacentral:rRNA from 1 species